GUUGGUACUGUCGGACGUGUGUGAUAUGUGUAAUACGUAGGUCAGCACACCUUACAUCGUUUGCCAAUUAUUUGUUACACAAGUUCCGAUGUACGCGUUGUCUCCCCGGGAGUCGGGCCCUCUUCGUUUGUGAAGAGAGUUUCUUACGGAUGUAAUAAACGUUUGAAUGGAAAGAUUGUGUUGGAGUGUUUCAUGCAAAGACCCAGAGUAGACCCUGCUACACAGAUAUAGCCAAAGUUAAAAGAAAUAAACAAAAACAAACAACAGUGAAAAACUUCUUUAAACCAUAAUAACUUCCUUUGUAAGAAACUGUGAAAACAUGAAAAUCUUUUGAAAUUGU